GACGAACGCUGGCGGCGUGCCUAAUACAUGCAAGUAGAACGCUGAAGAGAGGAGCUUGCUCUUCUUGGAUGAGUUGCGAACGGGUGAGUAACGCGUAGGUAACCUGCCUUGUAGCGGGGGAUAACUAUUGGAAACGAUAGCUAAUACCGCAUAACAAUGGAUGACACAUGUCAUUUAUUUGAAAGGGGCAAUUGCUCCACUACAAGAUGGACCUGCGUUGUAUUAGCUAGUAGGUGAGGUAACGGCUCACCUAGGCGACGAUACAUAGCCGACCUGAGAGGGUGAUCGGCCACACUGGGACUGAGACACGGCCCAGACUCCUACGGGAGGCAGCAGUAGGGAAUCUUCGGCAAUGGGGGCAACCCUGACCGAGCAACGCCGCGUGAGUGAAGAAGGUUUUCGGAUCGUAAAGCUCUGUUGUAAGUCAAGAACGAGUGUGAGAGUGGAAAGUUCACACUGUGACGGUAGCUUACCAGAAAGGGACGGCUAACUACGUGCCAGCAGCCGCGGUAAUACGUAGGUCCCGAGCGUUGUCCGGAUCUAUUGGGCGUAAAGCGAGCGCAGGCGGUUUGAUAAGUCUGAAGUUAAAGGCUGUGGCUCAACCAUAGUUCGCUUUGGAAACUGUCAAACUUGAGUGCAGAAGGGGAGAGUGGAAUUCCAUGUGUAGCGGUGAAAUGCGUAGAUAUAUGGAGGAACACCGGUGGCGAAAGCGGCUCUCUGGUCUGUAACUGACGCUGAGGCUCGAAAGCGUGGGGAGCGAACAGGAUUAGAUACCCUGGUAGUCCACGCCGUAAACGAUGAGUGCUAGGUGUUGGAUCCUUUCCGGGAUUCAGUGCCGCAGCUAACGCAUUAAGCACUCCGCCUGGGGAGUACGACCGCAAGGUUGAAACUCAAAGGAAUUGACGGGGGCCCGCACAAGCGGUGGAGCAUGUGGUUUAAUUCGAAGCAACGCGAAGAACCUUACCAGGUCUUGACAUCCCGAUGCUAUUUCUAGAGAUAGAAAGUUACUUCGGUACAUCGGUGACAGGUGGUGCAUGGUUGUCGUCAGCUCGUGUCGUGAGAUGUUGGGUUAAGUCCCGCAACGAGCGCAACCCCUAUUGUUAGUUGCCAUCAUUCAGUUGGGCACUCUAGCGAGACUGCCGGUAAUAAACCGGAGGAAGGUGGGGAUGACGUCAAAUCAUCAUGCCCCUUAUGACCUGGGCUACACACGUGCUACAAUGGUUGGUACAACGAGUUGCGAGUCGGUGACGGCAAGCUAAUCUCUUAAAGCCAAUCUCAGUUCGGAUUGUAGGCUGCAACUCGCCUACAUGAAGUCGGAAUCGCUAGUAAUCGCGGAUCAGCACGCCGCGGUGAAUACGUUCCCGGGCCU
rnacentral:rRNA from 1 species